UUUUGCGCGCGGACGAGGACACACGGGGUCACGACGAUCGUCGGGCAGCCGGCGUUGUCAGUCACAUCUAACGGAAGCUCGCCUGAUUAAACGCAGGAACAGCAUGCGUCGAGUUCGUGCGUUGAACCUGUCGCCGGGAUUUAACCGCGAGAUAGAAACCGGGACACCUUCUUUUAGUUUCGCUUAGCGGCAGCUUCGUCGUGCGUUUGUUCGCUAAAGGCAAUACACGCUGUUGGCAGCAGACACGUUCGAUGUUGGACGACUUCUUCUUUUUCCGUUUUUUCCUUUACUUUCCCUCUUUCGUUCGUAAACCUUGUUCGAGAACUGGGACUUCCCCAACGGCGGUCCACCUAGGUACCAACCAGCCGCUGCUGCUCCACCGCCGCUGAGCACGGAAUACGAACGACCACCUCCCUAUUAUUAUCCUGGACCAGGGGACAGAAAUUAGGAAUCGUGUGCCGUGGCAUGCACGAAGGUAGCGCUGAGUAGCGUGGCUACCCACAGUCUCACCCGCAGUUACAAAAGGACGCUCAAAAAGAAAGAGAAAUCCGGAUGCAAGCGGGACUAUGUUUAACCGGUCGCGUUGCAUUCCCGGUGAGCGUGCCACGGGGCGAAAAUUCAGUUUAAAGACCAACUUUGAUACAGACUGAGGUAGGCUAAAAUGAUGGAUCCUUCGGCGAGCGCGAGUAGUGUGAUCUAUGUGUACGAUCCCGUUUCUGCCCCCCGUUGUUUCUUCUCUUCUUUUCUUUGAAUUAGUAUUAUUGUAAGGGAAAUCAACGCGACAGCGUGCGUGUGCGUGUGCGUGUGCGUGCGACGAACAGAGAGAAUGCGAAAGAUUGUGUUU